CACCAACACCUCUCCAGGAAAAGUUCUCCAGCAGCGGGCACGUGCGCUUCAGAGGUGCCACAACGCCUGGUGUGAAAACUCAGUUUCCCUGGGCUUAGGAGCUUGGGGUGAUGCUCUGCUGUGUGCUGUGGGAGUCCACUUGAUCCUGAAGCAAAUCAUGUUCGAGACCUCCUGAGAUGAAGGAUGACAAAUCAGGACAACCCAAGAUGUUUCUGGCAACAGCGUCAGAUGUCAGAAUUGCAGCAGGUCUGUUGG